ACUGGACAUUGGAAAUAGCUUUGGAUGGUCCUGGGCUUCUUUUCUGUUGACCGAGGGAAUCGCACAGCUCAUCUGAGUGAGGCUGCUGUUCAGCUGAUACCGUUUUCCCUAACUACCAAAGCCAGUGCCAGAACUCGUGUUGAUAUCUGCGGGAGACGCAGCUGGCCCUCGGUAAAGACGGCCUACAUGCCAUUUUUCAUUUGAGUACGGUUUGAGCGUGGUGGUGUGGAAACGGUGUGUCCCCUCUCUCUUGAAC